GCAUGAGCAAAAAUUUUAAUUGAUCUAUAACGUUAACACUUAAAAUACACGUGACAGGAAAUUCUUGAUGUUAAAAGAAAAUAUAUUCUUGAAAUAACUUUUGAACAUAACAGGAAAUUAUUAAUGUGAAACUAUAGAAUAACAUUAGGGCAAAUAAAAAAAAAAAAUGGUUAGCGUCACCGCCCGCCUCUCGAUUUCUGCAGCCUCUGAAUUUUUUUUUAAAUUUUUUUAUGUAGAUCUCUUCGUUUUACAGCUUAAAGCAGUUUAAUAUUUGAAUUUUUUCUCAUGCCCAGACCUUCGCGCUAUAUACUGAUCGAUAGGAGCGCGUGGUCUUGGAUAUACAAGGUUCUUAUAUCAAAAUGGCGCCCUUCGCAACAUCAGUACAAAAAAUAUCACCGAUAUGGUGGAAAAACCGCCCCCAUCGCCCCAAAAAAUACUUUUAAAAAAUUAAAAACGAGUAAAGAAUUAAAAAAAAACGCCUUUCCGCCUUUGAAAAUUUGUGAGAGUGUGACGCUAACCAAGUAUUUUUUUUUAAUUGGCCUUAUCUAAAACUAAUUAUGAGCGGGAACAAGUUCGAAACAAGAAAAAGCAAGACUACAAAUAAUUUCAAAUAUUCUAGUAUAAUAAUCAUGCAAUAAUCGUUUUGAA